GGGGUUUCCUGUUUGCCUGUGGCCUUCUAUGGGUACAGCACAAAUCUGAUGUUGAGUUGAAGAUUAAAUAAAUCCCCAUUUAUGGAAAAGCUAAGUUCCUACGCUUCCAAGUCUCUUCACGCAAGUGCAAUAAAACAUUUGUAAAUACCCCAGGAUGAGGAUCAUUACAGAUGGCACUGACAUGCACCAGGCUCACGUGGAAGUCCUUGCAUCACUGCACGAGGGAAAAAGAAGAUAGAAAUGAUAAGCCUGAAGUUAUCCUGAGCCUAUGUGACAAGUGUGAGCAGCUGAAGCUUCUGAGAAGGUUAUAAACAUGGGAUGUAAAUGCUGGUUGAAAUACUACGAGUGCGUGUUUUCCUUUGGUGAGAAGGCCAAGAAGAUUGCUGAUCAAGGAAUGACUGACUGAACCUGGUGAGGAGAGAUGGAAUUAACGUGGCUGCAGCUUUACUCUGCAAACUGGUGCACUGAAAGAAGAGCUGAACUUCCUCCACAUCAAAUUCAUAAUCAAUAAUUCUCCCUUUCUUCCAGUUAUUUUUAUAGAUGCUGUCUGUCAAGCCACACUAGAAGGGCUCAGAGUGCUUCAUGUUGCACUUGAUACCUGAGCAAAGAAGGAGGCAGGUAGCAGCUAAAAGGGUGCAGGUUCCUCUAGGCACCCACCUGUAAAGACACUCCAGUGAGACCCAUCCAUGCCUUCCUUCUCUCAUACCUGCUCUGUAGGACAGAUCUUUACCAGGAGCCUACUGUCAAACAGCACUGGAUGGCUGAAUAUUCAUGCGCAACUUGUUUUUGGAGCAAGCCUGAGCAGAGCUGUUGAACUGCUAAUGGCAGUUGAAAGUGUUAAUUUUCACACUGCAGUAAAAGAAUCCCAAAUUUUGGUGACUUUGCUUGAGUCAGGGAUGGAGUUCCUGACAGCUUUAAAGCGUGCAGAUGUGAAAUGCUGAGUUUGAAUACUUAGUCCCUCUUAAAAUGCUUUAUUUCAUCUGAAAAGGUCUCAGACUUGGUGUUGCUUUGUCACACUCAACUCUUUUUUUUUUCCCCUCUUAGAGAGCUUGAAGUCUUGACUUCCUAUUGCAGCCUUGUUUAGUUGAGUGUAUGCAUUCUUAGGUCCAACAUUAUACAGUCUGACCAGGAAUCGUGCAGUCACUGUGGGAGAUGGGAAGGAGCAGUGUAAUUUAUUCUUUAAACAAUGGGAUCAUCUGCAUUUGAGUGCAAGUUAGUUAAUAAAAGGGGUUUUGUGAAAUAAUAAGAAGAAUUUUGCCUGGGUUUUGCUUAGGAAUAGUUGCACUCGGAUGGGGGAUGUGGCCCUCAAGUUGUGCCAUAGGGAGUAACUUCAUCUCCUGUAAGUAGCUACGCUGGUCACUCUUGCAUCCCCUAAGGAUGCAUCCAUCAAGGACUCCUGUCGUGUCCUCUAUGCUGCAAUGAACUGGGCUGCUCUACUUCUUUCCUGGCAACGUGAAGGGAAGGUGUCUGUCUCUGUGUGCUUGGGGGGAGAGUGGAGUAGAAAUAGACCGGGAAGACUAGGGGGCUUUGACCAGAUCCUUGAGCAAAAUGGAGUGGAUAAUUACUGCUGGCAAAAAUUCUAAACCACGUGAUACUAUUUAACCUGAGAUGAGCCAGUUCUAGGACAAACAGUAAUUCUAGUCAUGUUUAGAAGCCAGAUUAGGUAUUGAGUGGUGCCUGGUAGAGAAAUGCUAGGUGCAGUGGAGUUAGUGGUAUGACUCCCCUUAACAUGAGCUGGGGCAGGAUCUGACCUUGGACCUGCAGCGAGUGCUGUGAGUUUCUCCUGGCCUGUAAACCAAGUAACUGAGUGUUAUUACGUACACGUGCAAACAAUAGUGCUUAGAGCCUGUCUGCUGAGGUCUUUCCUUGGGGAUCCAUAUAAAAUACCUCUCACAAAAGCUGCCCUGUGCGCAAACAGAGGAAACUCCAUCUAGUGACGUAAAAAGAAAAGCCAACAAAACCUUUUCACACGUGUAUGUGUAUUGCCUCUUAUCUUACUGCCAGUCUGUUGAAGAUAUCAGUCCAGCUAAACAGUGCUCACCAUAUGUGAGACUUAAAGUGCUGCCUGGGAAGCACUUCCAGGCCCUGUUCUGUAUUCUGCCAAUGCAAGCAAAAAUGUCCCCUUUGUCAUGUUAGUGAAUGAAUAUUCUUGUUCCCCUUUCUCCUUGGAUUUAUGUCAACCCCGAGUUUCAACUGAGUUUGAUCUCCUUGCUUUAUUGUAUUGCAAACAGUAGUCAAUAGCUCUUCGGCUUGAGAUUGCCUGGAUUUAUUUUCAGGUCAAGUCAACUCUCCUUGACCCACAUCUGAACCAAAAUACAUUCCCAGAAGAUUCCCCCACAGGAUAUCGGUUCCAAAGACAGAGUGACAUUGUAAUAAGUUCAAGGUUUCAGUUCAGUAUACAACAGAGUCCCUUUUGGUGUGGGGAAGGCAAGCGAGCCAUCCUUCUUGUCUCAGAGCUGGGACCUCUCACGGGGCUUUUCAGAGCAGAUUUAGUCAUCCGCUGGUUACUGCUCUUCAUAGAACAAUGUCAUUGAUUGCAUUCCUAGUAUUUGUGGUCUCCUGACUGGUCCCAGCUCUGUGCACGUGUGUACUCAUGGCUCUGAUGUGUGUGUGAGGAAUUUGGUGUGCAGGCUUUAAACAACUGAUGGGUUGCUCUGCAUUCAUGAUUUUUUUUUUUUAAAUUCAUUUUUCUCAAAGAGAACAAAAAAUGGCAUCUCCUUUGGGGACUGUCUGGCACACAGGCAAAACCAAAUGAUAUUGCAUCAUAGAGUAAGAACACUGCUUUGAAGAGCUGGGACAAAAAUGGAAUGAACUCAUGAAUUUAUCCUGGAUGAUAAAUCUUCCUUCAAAAGAAGGCAGCCUUAUGUUUAGUACAAAAGACUGUUUAUUUCUUCUAUGGAAAAAAAAAGUGGUGUAAUCGGAUAGGAUUAACUUUCCAAGGGGCCCUGGACAGAAGCUAAAGUACAGGCUGCCUUCUUGUGCUCACAUUGGAUAAUUUGAGCUCUGGAGUAGUCUAAGACCCCUCUGGCUUCCUACAGCAUUUGGCUGUGACCAGCUGCCAGCAUGACUUGCACCUAUAGCCAACAUUAAGAACCCCAGCAACAAGAGUUUCUACAGGAGAAAAGAAAAUCAUCCAAAUGCUUGGCUGGUAUAAACAGUCUCGGUUGGGAACCUGGCCCAGGUGUGGGCAGAAAUACAGCCUUAUUAGUGUUCCUCAUCCCAAGCAACAGUUAAAUACGUUUUUAGGAAAUAAUGUACAGCUGACUUAAUGUUGCAUUAAGAAUCUUUGUGGUUUGCGUGUUCUGACUUUGUUGUUUUGACCGUUCGUGGUUGAUGUUGCAUUAGCCCUUUUAAUUUUACCUACUCGUUUAAUUACCUAGGAACAGUCCCCUGUGUCCUUUUGUCAGCGGGAGCAGUGAUGCUUCCAAUUUCACACCUCACUGGAAUGGAUGGGGAAGUUUUGACUGAGAUAGCUGUGUAGGCAAAAGCAACGAGGAAAUUGAGAACCCAAGGCUGGCUUGCAUGUGUGUGCACUUUUAUUUUUGCCAAAAGUCCCAGGUAAUCCAGGUGAUAAGCAAGCCCCUUCAUUAAACCUUUCUGAUGGACCGAGUUGAGUUCCCUGUGCUUGAGCUGGUUAAGGUUCUGACUUGCCUGUAUUGUGCAAGAACUGUCCAGCAGUCAUUGUUACUUUGCAUUGGUAAGCUUGGUUGUGUUUUACCCUUGUUCCUCCAGAACAAGUUAUGAGAGUAUAAUUUGCACAGCAAGUUUUUGCAGAGAAAGGUCAUGGUUAUGAACAGUUACUGUAUGUUAAUUUGUAUGCAUGUCGAAGACCUCUCCAUAGCUAUUAUGAGAGCAGCUGUACGGCAGAACAACAUUGAACCUGUUUGGGAUGAUUGGACUUGUGCUUAUGGAGCUGUGUGAAGUUGAUCUGAGCCAGUCUUGAAAAUAGAGGCAUGUGAAUUGGAGAUAUUUGGGAGUGCAGCGUUGCUUCUUGGCUAAUGCAGGCAAUAACAUUUAGGUGACUGGCGGUGAAAGGAACAUCCCCUCCCAGGUAUGAGGAUCCUAUGGCUCACAAGGGAGCUCCUCUAGGUUACAAGAAACUGAUUACAACUGGCAUGGGAAAAAAUUACCGCUGUUAAAGGGCAAAAGUUUACAGCUUUAUUGAUAACUUUCCACUAAGUUUUUGAUUCACCCAAGUGCCUAGCACCAUCUUGAUUCAGUCUUGUGCAUCUGAUGCAAUACAAAAUGAAGAUACUUGUAGGAUUCUGUGAGAGAGCUGUCAUCUGGAGUGGAAUCAUGCACAGCAGUCAAUUCCAGCGUUCUCCACGCUUCAAGCCAAGCUGGAGGAAGCCUUCAUCUCCUAUGCAGCUGCCCUAAAGGUAGGGAGAAAGGGAAGAUUUGAAACGAGUGGAAGACCUGUGGAUAUCGAUCUGCUGCAGACACUUCUGGCCAUGCGACGUUCUAGGACCAUAGGCUCUUGGGGAAUGGAGAGAGAGGCAGCAGCUGAAGCAGGGCUGUAGUGAGCCCUUGUUUUGCAGCUGGCCAUCCAUUCUACCCAAACCCUGAGAGUCUGGCUGGACUGGGAGCUGGGAGAGCUUGGCAAUUUCUAGUGCUGAGCCCAGCAGCGGUCGGAGUUCCAAAGGAGAAUGCCAGAUAAUUCCCACCCAACAAACAUCAAACCUGUGGAGAACUUAGUUGUAACGCGUUUGUUGUCUCACCUGCCAUUGGUGUUUGCUAGCAGGCUAGACAGCGUUCACAAUGGGCCCAGUAAAAAAUUACCCUUUGUGUUCAUUUACUUAACAUUUCAAGGAACUGUAGCUCAAUUGGGUUGACCUUCAUUCUCAGCUCCCAUGCAUGGGCUUAGCUCCAGUAACUCCAGUCAGGUUAUGCUGACUUUCGGCAGCUGGGACUUGGGCCUUGCUUUUUAUGUCCCUUAUUCAGUGCUCAUGUAGUCAGUUUUCCUUGCCAAGAUUAUAUUUGCUUUCCUUCCUAAAGGACUGCUCUAAAUAUCAUGCUUUAAAACAAUGUGUCUCUUCUCCCCACAGAGAACAAUAUGAUAUGCCACUGUUGAAUUAAUAUGUCUAUGAAAAGUGAAUAUAAUCUCCCCAGUAGAUCCCCUUUCCAAAAGAUUUAUGAUUUAAUGAAUUUUUUAUUUCUUACCGGUGUGUAGCAUUCGGUCAUUUUACACCUAGCAAGAGUUUUUCCCAAGGAAGCAAAGGAAGGUGGAGAGGGGGGUUCCACCAUCCUGAUUCAAAUCCUUUUUUUCCCCACUCUCUGCUCUGCUGUGUCACUUGUAACACUUGUUGCUGCUGCAAAGUCAAACCCAACCUUCUGUACCACGGCUUCUGUUAGAAUCUACCCUUAAAACGUGCAGGUUGUGAUGCUGGGCUGAGACAGUGCAAUAUGGAGAGAAGUUUGGAGCAGUGCUUAUAUAAAAAUCAAUGCCUCUGAAGUCUUUGUUGCUAUCUGCUUGACUGCUCUAGGCAGGAUUUCUUGCUCAUAGUCCUACUCUAUCUUCCUCGUGGUCACGGUCCAGUGCAUUUUCAAAUAAAUUGCUAUAAUGCUUCUGACAGUAGAUUAUGAAGCCACAAAUAACAUCUGCAGGUAACACCUUUAUUUAGUGGAAGAGGAGUAAAGCAGAAGUGAGCUGUGAAGAAGAGAGCUGUUAUAGAUAAUUAUUAGCUAUGUGGGUAAUAUUCCUAAUUAAGCUGCCAAUUGAUUUCUCCUGAAAGCUCUCUUAGCUUUGAAAAUGGUGAACUGAUUGCUUUACUGGUGCUUCCCUUGGCUGUUAGGAUGCGUGCUGUACCUGUGCUUGGCUUUUGGGAAACUUGCUGGGAUCAGUGGCUUCAAAUCCUGCUGGGAUCGACAGAAAGCGCUGGCAGGGUGGCUGGGCAAGGGGCACUGGCAUUAACCUCUCUCAUUCUGUGUCUUCAGAAGAGAAAGACAAAGAGCAGCUACAAUCCUGGGUGGCCCCAUUGAUUGAGACACAUGUGAAGCGGUGCGUGCUUUAUAUUGUCUCCCUGAAUCAGCACUGUUCAUCAUCACUUGUCAAGAGGUAAAUGCUACAGGCAGUAUCCUCUCUGCCUGGAAAAUGCUGAUCUCCAGCUGCAGGUUCUCACAGGCCUAUUGGUGUAUGCUACCUCAGAUGCUGAAGCCCUUUGGCAUCCCAAGAAGCUCAGUGUGAGCACAACAUUGCAGGGCACGCUGCCUGUCCCACCCAGCACUACCAGCACAUGUCUGGGUGGGCAUUAAAUGACUUAAUUGUUUUCUGUUGAAGGGGAAGCAAAACUGGACGGUGCCACAGUCACAGCCUGCUGGACAUUCCUUGUUUCCUGCCAUUUCACAGAGGUGUCUCCAGAUGUCUUACAGAGUGUGGAACGUGACUGACAGAGAACCCUGGUGAAGGGGAGAGGAAAUGAGUGCUGCGUUUCCAUCUAGCAGCCCGCUGGCACUGACUCCCAGGACUGCAGGAAGCUUUUUACCUUUGUGCACUUCAUGUAUCACAGCCUGAUUUCCUGCAGGCGCCUGUCUGUUCAGCUAUCCCUGGCUUUGUCAUCUCAACGUGGGUGUUUGCACUCCUGGCCAGCACAUUGUUCUCUGCCUGUGCAUGAUGCUGCUGCCUUCAGACACGCUCGGUGAUGCUGUUUCCGUCUUCUGCUGCUGCUGCAUGCAUAUCCUCUCUUAUGCAAUGGAGAAACGUUUCCCUUUGCCCCUUUUAAAGUUUGAUGUGCAAUUCUAAUGCUUCCCCUCCUAACACACGCAUGUAAUUUGCCAUAUUGGCCUUCUCUCUCACUCCCCUCCAAUCUUUCUAACACUUGAAUCUGCCAAAUUGCUUUUUUUAAGUCUAUUGACUUAAGUGGGCAGGGCUUGGUGUUUGCUUCCAUCUGCCUCAUAGUUGGAAAAGGAAGCCUUAAGAGAAAGUGAGGGGGCUUUCAGCUCUCAUUCAAAGUACCAGCAAGGAGAGGCUGCAAGGGACGCUGUGGAAUCCUGGAUUUUCUAUUCCUGCCCAUUGCCCCCCUUACUGUAAGCACUAAGAACUUGUGCUUUUGAAGGAAAAGAAAGAUACUGCUUUAAUUCAGGCUUAUUGGGCAGGCAGUUAAAUAAUAACCCAGCUUUCAGCACCAUGUUGUGCCAAAUACCCCGGGUCAAGUUAUUCAGCUGUGUUUUCUUUUCCUUGACUUUUCUCUCAUAGAGAGAACUGUCAUACCUAUCUCCACUGGUCAGAGCUCACCCCUAUGUGUGUUUAUCUUCAGCGCUGAACACAGCAGAGUGCUGACUUCAUGCAUAGCCCUGUGCUGCCCACAGACAUGAUAGCAGAGGCUUGUGCUGGGAGAAUCCUGCUGCUGAAGACAGCCUGCUAGCUGUCACCCUUCAAACCAAGAAGUGCAGCUGUGGAGCUGGAGGCUGGGGCAGCUUGCUUUGUCAAGCAGUUGCCUGAUGUUCAGGAUUCAGUCUUUAGAGUUUCUCUUCACUGCCUGCAGUCUGGGAUGGCAAACUCCAGGUGUCAAGCCACAUUACAAUUGCUGACCAAGUUCUUGCUCGGUUCUCAUGGUGUAAAUCCACAUCCCGGGAGAGAAGGAGAUUUGGAUGGGUAAGAACUCAUCUUGCUGCAUCUGUGCAGGGAGUUCCUGCUUGAUGAGCUGCCUCAGAGCUCGCAUCUCCUGGAGGCUGUGGUUGGACUGCCUUUUUAACAGUGGUUAUAGAGCAGAACUAAUCUCACCAAGCAAGUAGCAUUGGCCCUGUGCUGAUCUUAUCUGGGUGCCCAGCUUUUCCGCAGCUCUGCUCGCUGUGUUGUAGGGGGAUGGUUUUGUGUUGUGCAAUUCUUUGAGACUGUGUUAUUUUGCUUACUGCUCAAGCAUUUCAUCCCUGAGCACCGAGCAAAAUCUGGCUUUCAUAAUGGAAAGGGAAUGGGCUCGUCCCUCCUGCGUGUGGAACGUGUUCCCUGUAAAAGAUAGCUGGAGGGAGGGACCUGGAAGGGGAGUGAGGGCAGCGAGGGUUUUGCUCCUGCUCUCAGCAGAUGCAAGAGAUGAGGCUGCCUGCAACUCCUGGACAGCGAGCAGCCUUGUGGUUGCAGAUGCUGGAUGGUAUUUUUGGAGAGGCUGUAAUCCUUGAUGUUAUUUUCUGGUGCACCAAGUAAGGAAAAGCUGCUUGCUUUUUUGUCUGAGUGACUCUGGACUUCUGCAACAGUACU